rnacentral:rRNA from 1 species
GAUUAAUUCGAUGCAGCGCGAAAAACCUUACCUACGCUUGACAUGCCAGGAACUUUCCAGAGAUGGAUUGGUGCCCGAAAGGGAACCUGGACACAGGUGCUGCAUGGCUGUCGUCAGCUCGUGUCGUGAGAUGUUGGGUUAAGUCCCGCAACGAGCGCAACCCUUAUCCCUAGUUGCUACGCAAGGGCACUCUAGGGAGACUGCCGGUGACAAACCGGAGGAAGGUGGGGAUGACGUCAAGUCCUCAUGGCCCUUAUGUGUAGGGCUUCACACGUCAUACAAUGGUCGGUACAGAGGGUCGCCAACCCGCGAGGGGGAGCCAAUCCCAGAAAACCGAUCGUAGUCCGGAUUGCAGUCUGCAACUCGACUGCAUGAAGUCGGAAUCGCUAGUAAUCGCGGAUCAGCAUGUCGCGGUGAAUACGUUCCCGGGUCUUGUACACACCGCCCGUCACACCAUGGGAUGUGGGUUCUACCAGAAGUAGGUAGCCUAACCGCAAGGAGGGCGCUACCACG